UUGCGCACGUAGCGGUUUUCAGCCGUCGGCUCACCCGACGGAGGGCGGGUAAACGGCGCAGCUCGAGGGCAGGAGAGGUGCAUGGAAUUCCUGGUGGAGCGGUGAAAUGCGUAGAGAUCAGGAAGAACACCGGUGGCGAAGGCGGUGCACUGGCCUGGCCCUGACGCUGAGGCGCGACAGCGUGGGGAGCGAACGGGAUUAGAUACCCCGGUAGUCCACGCCGUAAACGAUGGAUACGAGGUGUCGCGGGGGUCCACCUCGCGGUGCUGGAGCUAACGCACUCAGUAUCCCGCCUGGGGAGUACGGCCGCAAGGUUGAAACUCAAAGGAAUUGACGGGGGCCCGCACAAGCAGUGGAGCAUGUGGUUUAAUUCGACGCAACGCGCAGAACCUUACCAGGGCUAGACGGGACCGUGAGCCGCGCGAAAGCGCGGGGCUGCUUCGGCAGAGCGGUCGUCAGGUGCUGCAUGGUUGUCGUCAGCUCGUGUCGUGAGAUGUUGGGUUAAGUCCCGCAACGAGCGCAACCCUCGUCGGCUGUUGCCAGCGAUUCGGUCGGGCACUCAGCCGAGACAGCCGGGGACGACCCGGAGGAAGGUGGGGAUGACGUCAAAUCCGCAUGGCCUUUAUGUCCU
rnacentral:rRNA from 1 species